rnacentral:rRNA from 1 species
GACGAACGCUGGCGGCGUGCUUAACACAUGCAAGUCGAACGAAGUUUGAUUACGGAUUCUUCGGAUGAAGUAUGAUAUGACUGAGUGGCGGACGGGUGAGUAACGCGUGAGUAACCUGCCCUUCAGAGGGGGAUAGCGUUUGGAAACGAACGGUAAUACCGCAUAAUGUAUUUUGACCGCAUGAUCGAAAUACCAAAGAUUUAUCGCUGAAGGAUGGACUCGCGUCUGAUUAGGUAGUUGGUGGGGUAACGGCCUACCAAGCCGACGAUCAGUAGCCGGACUGAGAGGUUGAUCGGCCACAUUGGGACUGAGACACGGCCCAGACUCCUACGGGAGGCAGCAGUGGGGAAUAUUGCACAAUGGGCGCAAGCCUGAUGCAGCAACGCCGCGUGAAGGAAGACGGUUUUCGGAUUGUAAACUUCUGUUCUUAGUGAAGAAUAAUGACGGUAGCUAAGGAGCAAGCCACGGCUAACUACGUG